CUACGUAGGGGGCGAGCGUUGUCCGGAAUGACUGGGCGUAAAGGGCGUGUAGGCGGCUGGAUAAGUCUGGAGUGAAAUCUAGGGGCUCAACCCCUAAACUGCUUUUGAAACUGUAUCCCUUGAGUAUCGGAGAGGCAGGCGGAAUUCCUAGUGUAGCGGUGAAAUGCGUAGAGAUUAGGAGGAACACCAGUGGCGAAGGCGGCCUGCUGGACGACAACUGACGCUGAGGCGCGAAAGCGUGGGGAGCAAACAGGAGUAGAUCCCCUGGUAGUCCACGCUGUAAACGAUGAAUACUAGGUGUGGGGGGACUGACCCCCUCCGUGCCGCAGUUAACACAAUAAGGGUUCCACCUGGGGAGUACGAUCGCAAGAUUGAAACUCAAAUGAAUUCACGGGG
rnacentral:rRNA from 1 species